UGCAAGCCAAUACACAUCAAUACACGUCAAUAUUAAUCAAAAUGAAUUGCAAAAUAUUGAAUUUUUUUUAGAAUACAUGAAAAAUUUUUAAAAGAAAAACUAAAGUUAAAAGUACUAGAUGAAAAUGAUAAGUAGGAGCUGGUGGUUACAGUAUGAACAACCAUCGUGUAAAUUGUAGCACUGUCAUUAUACUAGUAAUUGAAAACAGUUCCUGGGUAGAGAAGCAUGCUAUUGCCAAUUCCCCAACAGUUUC
rnacentral:lncRNA from 1 species